UCUGUGUUGCCAGCAUUUAGUUGGGGACUCACAGGAGACUGCCGGGGUUAACUCGGAGGAAGGUGGGGAUGACGUCAAAUCAUCAUGCCCCUUAUGUCUUGGGCUGCACGCAUGCUACAAUGGCUGGUACAAACGGCUGCAAUACCGCAAGGUGGAGCGAAUCCGAGAAAGCCAGUCUCAGUUCGGAUUGGGGUCUGCAACUCGACCCCAUGAAGUCGGAGUUGCUAGUAAUCGUAGAUCAGCAACGCUACGGUGAAUACGUUCCCGGGUCUUGUACACACCGAAU
rnacentral:rRNA from 1 species